ensembl:lncRNA
GGAAAAAAAGAGAGAGUGGUUCAUUUGUUAGCCUCUCACCCCUCUCCAAACUAAUCACGUGCCAAAUUGAUAAAAUUAUCACACUUUUCCUUUUUGAAUUCAGCAGACGUACCAUGAAAUAUCAUUAGCGCCUCCAUCUGCGUGCGCGUCAUUACCUAUCCGAGCGUAGGAGGUUCGCGCUACGCUCGCUAUCGUCAAAAUCAUUGUUUUACCAGACGAAGCUAUGACAAGUCACCGGUAAAUUUAAUCUAAUGAUAUGCAAAUUUGGGAAAAAAAGACAAUUAGGGCUGCUCAGACUGAUGUUGGCAUGCGUGUCAGAGCGCAGCUCCACCGUCCCCCGAUCUGCGGAUGCGUAUGAAUCAGAUUAGCGGAAUAAUGAGAGCGAGAGAGAGCUUUAGCCUCGAGUGGCAUUUUCAUCCAGGCCUGUUCCAGUGCAGGAGGAAUUUCUGUAAAGGCUUAAUAAUCAGCUCGUGAUUCGCGUUUAUCUCAGACGGAGAGUGUUUUCUGGUCUACGAACGGUCGUUCACGUCCUAAUAUGCGCGAUCGAGCAAACACAAUGGUGCUUCUGAUCUCCUACGAGCAUUCCUGUCACGUUUGAUAAAUAGCACGGGCCGAGAUGUAAAUAAGCUCAUAAGCUUCUACUGUGAUAUCUGCAUAACUGAUCUAUAAAGCUUCACCGCUCCGGUGUACUCCUGAACGCAGACAUGCAGCGACACAGAGCGACUUUGUGUGACUUUUCCUGAACAGUGCGAACACGUUUAACACGGCGCUAACCUCCCACCUAACUCUCACCGUUAAUGCACAGAGACUGCCCGUUUUUCAUGUUACUGUACGUUUCUCUUGGCAGGUCAGUCAGGGCCUCUACUUUCUUCAAACCAGAAGUCAUUUUCUCAUUUCUCAUAAUUAAGAGUUAAUUGGGAGUGCACCUGUGGUUGUAUUUAAAGUGCUUACCUUUACAGCCAGUGCCUUUUAACCCUUGAUACCAUGAGACAAUCUGCGGACCUCCGCAAGUCCAGUUCCUCCUGAGAGGCAGGUACCACGGGCAUCUGUACAAACUUUGGCCCUAAAGAACAAGCUUUAGUCAAGUUAAGUUAAGGCUCUGUGUUACUGAUUAGAAGGUCGGGAGUUCAAGCCCCAGCACUGCCACAGUCUGGGUUACUGAUCGGAAGGUCUGGGGUUCAAGCCCCAGCACUGCCACAGUCUGGGUUACUGAUCGGAAGGUCGGGGAUUCAAGCCCCAGCACUGCCACAGUCUGGGUUACUGAUCGGAAGCUCGGGGGUUCAAGCCCCAGCACUGCCACAGUCUGGGUUACUGAUCGGAAGCUCGGGGGUUCAAGCCCCGGCACUGCCACAGUCUGGGUUACUGAUCGGAAGGUCGGGCGUUCAAGCCCCAGCACUGCCACAGUCUGGGUUACUGAUCGGAAGCUCGGGGGUUCAAGCCCCGGCACUGCCACAGUCUGGGUUACUGAUCGGAAGAUCCAGCACUGCCAAGCUGCCACUGUUGUGCCCUUAACCCUCUCUGCUCCAGGGGCGCUGUAUCAUGGCUGACCCUGUGCACUGACCCCAACCUCCUGACAUGCUGGAGGAAAGAAUGACAUGUGAAGAAAAGAAUUUCACUUUGCACAUGCAUAGGUGAUCAGUAAAGACUUUUACCCUAUCCAGUAAAGACUCAUUUCCAUUAUCCUUAGUCCUAAAGGUUCGACUGAACCCCUAGACAACAAAGGAACUGGUGACGGAACUGGAGGCAUCAAGUACCCAAAUAUGUACAGCCACCUUUAAGAGAUUCUUACAUCGCUAUGUCCUGAGAGGCUGUACGGAAGAAGCCACUACUCCAAGACAGGCAUUUGCAUUAGAUCAGCAGCAUUUCCUCAGGUCAAAUAAAACAUAAUGGGCCAUAAUGAUCAAUUGUGAAGCAUGGGGGUGGCAGCAUCAUGUUAUGGGGAUGUUUUGCUCGGAAAGGGGCUGGUGCAUUUAUAUAAAGUAUAACCUCAAGACAUAAGACAGAAAGUUAAAACUUGGGUCUUCCAGCAGAACAGUGAUCCUAAGCAUACGUCCCAC